UGUCAGAAGCCAACUAUCCAAGUUCUGAAUUAUGCACGCGCACAGCUUACGCUUUUGGGUACAAUUCCGAAGGAAAAUAUUAUUUUUAAAUCCUCGAAAAUUCUUUCUCUGCAAGCCUAGAAUUGCAACCAACAUUCUCUGCUUCUGCUCGCCUCUUCAGCUUUCUGCUCCUUAUAAGUAAGCUGGCUCACAAAAUAACAUCUGAGCUGUCACGCCAAACAGACAACAUACCACUAGAGCAAUCCUUGAUUUUUGGCAACACUUUUCUGCCAUAGAUCGAUAAUUUCGGCCAUUAUUUUUUACCUCCAUGAUCCAUAAAAAUGAACCUGUUUAUGAAUCUCUGCUGAAGGACAAAUAUAUUUGCUAACUGUCACUUAGUUUUGUCUACUUUCUCUAAUUGAAACAAAGGCAAAACUGCAAUAACAUACAUUUGCUGACUAACAGUUCUCAGGCUUUGUUUACUCUCUUAAAUUGAAAAUGUAAAACUGUUUUAUCUCAAGACUUUCACUUGUCAUAGUUGAGAUGCACCUUGUGUCAAUCAAUUCCUUUGUAUCACUUAGGAGUUCUAUGUGGAUUUUGGACUUUCAGAUCUGGUAAAGUGGUAGGGGAGCACAAAUCAGCUGGCCUCACUGAAUCAUGUUUUAUUUUUAUAUUUGUUCGUUCAGAUCCAAUGGAUUUUAACUUAGUUGGUCUCUUCUAAUUUA